UACUGGCAGGAAUAAUGAAAUUGAUUAGAUGUGCGAAGGGGAUGCUCUCUAAUGAGCAAACAUUUGAGGCUUAUUUAUAUUCUGACCUGCAAACA